rnacentral:lncRNA from 1 species
CCCCAGGAGAGUUCUGCCUCUCUCCUGCCUGCAGCCAUAUGGGCUGUGGAUGGGAUGUGGAAUCCUAGAGCUGUCCCAUGGAGACCCUGAGAUGAAUUGUAGCCUCAGGGGUUGUGGGGAGGCUGUGAGCAGGAGGUGCUGGGGAGCGCAGUGGCACCCGAUGGCUUUGCCAUGCCAUCUUGUGGCCAUGGGGUGCUGUGAGAUGAGGGAGAGCAGGAAGGAGGCAAGAAAAACAGGUCUGGCAACGACCUUGCAGGCACAUUCCUGCCCUGGGAGUUUCCCUCUGCACUGUUGGUAUUUCCGUGGACGUGGUCACCUGUGCUGCUCAGCUGCCAGCCUCGCCUGGGGUGGAUGCUCUGGGGAUGGGUGCAUUCAGGGCACAAAUACUUCACUGGGACUGCACUUAUCAAUGGCCAGGGAUAAUUACAGCAGUGACAACGGAUUAUUCACAACUGCCCAUGGAGGAUGAGUGAACAUUGUUGCUGACACCAGCCAGAGGAGCAGAGGAAGAGGCUGCACGGAGGAAGAGCAUCGCCCUGGCAGCAGCUGCCAGUUCCAACACCAGAGGUUCAAACUGGUUCUGAUGUGUGCUGCUUGCGGAGGGAAGCACUUGGGAGCCUUCAUCACCCUACUCCCACCUGCUGCAGCAGGACCAAAGGUGCAAAACCUGAAUUGCAUUGAAAUUGCAGCCCGUCAUCAGCAUUGGCACACCACCCUCCACCUCCCGCCCCGCUGUCCUUCCAACAGCCUCAAAGGCAGGGCUGCAGAGCAGAGAUGUGCUGGACGUAGGCAGACCUCUGAGCUAUGAGACUGUCCUGCUCCUCCCACGCCGGUCUGCCCACAUUGCUGCCCUGCUGCAACCUCUCCUUGUGGUGUGUGUGUUUCACACGGGUUACACAACAUCGAAAGCAAACAGAGCUGUACACAGGUGUAUUUCCGUGUAACCGCUUCACGCAUUGAGUGGGCUGUAAGCAGAUGCCAAAUGGGAAGAGCUCCCAGCCCUCCCAGCACACAGGUCCCAUAAAUUUCCCCAUCCUUCAGGGAAGCGCAAUUAGGAUCCGGAUAUUGGGGUGAAUCAGAACACACCGAAAUUUAAAUGGAAAAACAAUUAAUCUGUGCAAUAUAUGCUGAAUAUCACCAGCUCCUGGGGUCCUGGUGCCCUUUGCCUGCCUUCAGCUUUGCAAAAGGUCUGCAAAGGCCUUCCCAGAGCAGCAGAUCUCAGCAUCUGUGCUGGUCUGCAUCUUCUCACACCUAACAGGCGGCACUCAGUGCCAG